AGAACGAACGCUGGCGGCAUGCCUAACACAUGCAAGUCGAACGAACCCUUCGGGGUUAGUGGCGCACGGGUGCGUAACGCGUGGGAACCUGCCUUUUGGUUCGGAAUAACAGUGAGAAAUUACUGCUAAUACCGGAUAAUGUCUUCGGACCAAAGAUUUAUCGCCAUUAGAUGGGCCCGCGUAAGAUUAGCUAGUUGGUGGGGUAAAGGCCUACCAAGGCGACGAUCUUUAGCUGGUCUGAGAGGAUGAUCAGCCACACUGGGACUGAGACACGGCCCAGACUCCUACGGGAGGCAGCAGUGGGGAAUAUUGGACAAUGGGCGAAAGCCUGAUCCAGCAAUGCCGCGUGAGUGAUGAAGGCCUUAGGGUUGUAAAGCUCUUUUACCCGAGAUGAUAAUGGCAGUAUCGGGAGAAUAAGCUCCGGCUAACUCCGUGCCAGCAGCCGCGGUAAUACGGAGGGAGCUAGCGUUGUUCGGAAUUACUGGGCGUAAAGCGCACGUAGGCGGCUUUUUAAGUCAGGGGUGAAAUCCCGGGGCUCAACCCCGGAACUGCCCUUGAAACUGGGAAGCUAGAAUCUUGGAGAGGCGAGUGGAAUUCCGAGUGUAGAGGUGAAAUUCGUAGAUAUUCGGAAGAACACCAGUGGCGAAGGCGACUCGCUGGACAAGUAUUGACGCUGAGGUGCGAAAGCGUGGGGAGUAAACAGGAUUAGAUACCCUGGUAGUCCACGCCGUAAACGAUGAUAACUAGCUGUCCGGGUUCAUAGAACUUGGGUGGCGCAGCUAACGCAUUAAGUUAU
rnacentral:rRNA from 1 species